CCCUUAGAUGUUCUGGGCCGCACGCGCGCUACACUGACGAAGUCAGCGAGCAUGUCCUACGCCGACAGGUGCGGGGAAUCUUGUCAAACUUCGUCGUGAUGGGGAUUGAUUAUUGAAAUUCUUGAUCAUCAACGAGGAAUUCCUAGUAAGCGCAAGUCAGCAGCUUGCGUUGAUUACGUCCCUGCCCUUUGUACACACCGCCCGUCGCUACUACCGAUUGAAUGGUUUAGCGAGAUCUUCGGAUUGGCGCCACUGCGGCUCAGCAAUGGGCUCGGUGGAUGCCGAAAAGUUGAUCAAACUUGAUCAUUUAGAGGAAGUAAAAGUCGUAACA
rnacentral:rRNA from 1 species